UCACGAUGAUCGAGUAGAAUCGAAUAAUCGUCGCCGGCCGCUUAUGUUAGCGACAAUCGAUUUAUUUACUGUAAAAUCGAUGUUGCUACUUACAUUUCUUUGGGUUAAAAGAAAAUCACAAAGGGACGUUACUCUCAUCGUAAAGUUGGACAAGGAAAUUUUCAAUUUCCCAGGGAAGACACGCUUGUCAGUUUAGCGUUGUCUUUGGUUUAAAAAAAAACAUUCUGACGGCCCGCCAGUGAAGCACAACCUUCACAUGACAACUGUCAUUUGCCAAUUAUACAUGAAGCCGUAUGCAAACAAAGGGUAAUACAACAAAUUUACAGCAGCAUUUCGACAAACAUCACCUUAACACACUAACACUGAUGAAACUAGUCAUACUGUAUCUAGUUCAAAAUAUGAUAAACAAGAUCAACAAGGAAAGGUGGCGUUCAAUGAACGCAGCCCCCACCCGAACCAGUACCAAGAGCCAGCGACAAGGAGCCCAGACCUGCCUUAGUCCAGAGAAAGUGAAAGCAAUAAUUUUUUCUUAAAAUGAACAUGGAUUCUUACUGUUAGAUUUGUGCUUCUUCAAGCUUAGUGAUAGUUAAAGUUCAUUGUGAAUUUAAAUGGUUAAAAAGAGUUAAAUUGCUAUUGUUAAGGAGUUUAUGCUUUGUCUAAACGUUUCAUUUAACUUUUUUUCAGGUUUUACAAACAAUUGAUAUGUAAAUCUAGCCUGUGGUUUGUAAUAUAUGAUCAUAUAUUAUAAGUAAAUAAAAGAAUAGAUAUUUGAAAAGAU